rnacentral:rRNA from 1 species
UAAAACUUUCAACAAUGGAUCUCUUGGUUCCGGCAUCGAUGAAGAACGCAGCGAAAUGCGAUAACUAAUGUGAAUUGCAGAAUUCAGUGAAUCAUCGAGUCUUUGAACGCACAUUGCGCCCCCUGGUAUUCCGGGGGGCAUGCCUGUCCGAGCGUCA